GCUGUGUGUGUGUGAGUUGUGAACUAAAAAAAGAAAAGGAGAGGGGGUCUGGGUGUGCGCAUGAAAAAAAAACAGAGGGUAUUUGUGGGAUGGCUUUUGGAGGUCGUGCGAAAGGGGUUUGUGAGUCGGGUUUUUGAGAUUUAUUCUUUUAGGAUCAUAGGAGGCAGCAACGGCUCUUUGAGGGGGGUUUUUACUUUGGUUCUUUUGGGGAGACACAGAAAAGGCCCAGAGCAUAGAGGACAUAGUUGGGCUUCUUUUGGGGUGCUAUGCAAACACAACACAUGAACAACAAGGAUGGUUGGCGGUAUGCUGAAAAAUUAAUAUCUUUUUGAGAAUUGGAAAGCGGCCAACAACGGCGAUGCUCGGGGUGUUCGUGGCGCACGAUGGCGGCGCUGUAGGUGUUGUUUUGUCUUCUACUCUCCAAAUAAAAGAAAGACUUUCUGGUGAUCGAGCUUAGCAAGCUCUAAGGCAAGGUCUAGUUUUUGGUGAUUGUGAGUGAAUGUAAGAUAUUGGAACAUAAUAGUUAUGUUUUAAAUGGUGGUAAUGUAAUAUGGAAACACCUUUUUGGUUAUAUAGUAUAGUACUCUAGUGUUUUUUGGUUAUGUAUUAUGGAUAUAUGAAAUUCCUUUUUGGGUUGUGUAAAUUAGUACUCUAGUAUUUAUUUGAGGUAGUUUAAUU